rnacentral:rRNA from 1 species
AUUGAACGCUGGCGGCAGGCCUAACACAUUCAAGUCGAGCGAGCGGCGGACGGGUGAGUAAUGUCUGGGAAACUGCCUGAUGGAGCGGGAUAACUACUGGAAACGGUAGCUAAUACCGCAUACCAUCAGAUGUGCCCAGAUGGGAUUAGCUAGUAGGUGUGGUAACGGCUCACCUAGGCGACGAUCCCUAGCUGGUCUGAGAGGAUGACAAGCCACAUUGGAACUGAGACACGGUCAAGACUCCUAUGGGAGGAAGGAGUGGGGAAGAUUGAACAAUGGGCGCAAGCCUGAUGCAGCCAUGCAGCGUGUAUGAAGAAGGCCUUAGGGUUGUAAAGUACUUUCAGCGGGGAGGCGUUACCCGCAGAAGAAGCACCGGCUAACUCCGUGCCAGCAGCCGCGGUAAUAC